rnacentral:rRNA from 1 species
GACGAACGCUGGCGGCGUGCUUAACACAUGCAAGUCGAACGGAAAGGCCCUGCUUUUGUGGGGUGCUCGAGUGGCGAACGGGUGAGUAACACGUGCGUAACCUGCCCUUGACUUUGGGAUAACUUCAGGAAACUGGGGCUAAUACCGGAUAGGUGCUCCUGCUUCAUGGUGGGGGUUGGAAAGUUUCGGCGGUUGGGGAUGGACUCGCGGCUUAUCAGCUUGUUGGUGGGGUAGUGGCUUACCAAGGCUUUGACGGGUAGCCGGCCUGAGAGGGUGACCGGCCACAUUGGGACUGAGAUACGGCCCAGACUCCUACGGGAGGCAGCAGUGGGGAAUAUUGCACAAUGGGCGGAAGCCUGAUGCAGCAACGCCGCGUGCGGGAUGACGGCCUUCGGGUUGUAAACCGCUUUCGCCUGUGACGAAGCGUGAGUGACGGUAAUGGGUAAAGAAGCACCGGCUAGCUACGUG